rnacentral:rRNA from 1 species
ACCCGCUGAACUUAAGCAUAUCAAUAAGCGGAGGAAAAGAAACUAACAAGGAUUCCCUUAGUAACGGCGAGUGAACCGGGAAGAGCUCAAAUUUGUAAUCUGGCGUCCUUCGGGCGUCCGAGUUGUAAUCUAUAGAGGUGUUUUCCGCGCCGGACCACGUUUAAGUCUCCUGGAACGGAGUAUCAAAGAGGGUGACAAUCCCGUACUUGACGUGACGACCGGUGCUAUGUGAUACACUCUCAACGAGUCGAGUUGUUUGGGAAUGCAGCUCUAAAUGGGUGGUAAAUUCCAUCUAAGGCUAAAUAUUGGCGAGAGACCGAUAGCGAACAAGUACCGUGAGGGAAAGAUGAAAAGCACUUUGGAAAGAGAGUUAAACAGCACGUGAAAUUGUUAAAAGGGAAACGAUUGAAGUCAGUCGUGCACUUGGUAUUCAGCCGUCUCUGACGGUGUAUUUGCCUUGUGCGGGUCAACAUCAGUUCUGAUCGGCGGAAAAGGGCUGGAAGAAGGUGGCACCCUCGGGUGUGUUAUAGCUUCCUGUCGUAUACGUCGGUUGGGACUGAGGAAUGCAGCUUGCCGCAAGGCCGGGGUUCGCCCACGUUCAAGCUUAGGAUGUUGACAUAAUGGCUUU